rnacentral:rRNA from 1 species
GCAGCAGCCGCGGGAAUACAGAGGGUGCGAGCGUUAAUCGGAUUUACUGGGCGUAAAGCGUGCGUAGGCGGCUAAUUGAGUCGGAUGUAAAAUCCCCGAGCUUAACUUGGGAAUUGCAUUCGAUACUGGUUAGCUAGAGUGUGGGAGAGGAUGGUAGAAUUCCAGGUGUAGCGGUGAAAUGCGUAGAGAUCUGGAGGAAUACCGAUGGCGAAGGCAGCCAUCUGGCCUAACACUGACGCUGAGGUACGAAAGCAUGGGGAGCAAACAGGAUUAGAUACCCCUGUAGUCCCUGUCUCUUAUAC